UGCUGAGCCAUCUAAAAAAAAAAAAUUUAGAGACCGCAAAUCGAGGACUGGUUCUGUGGACAGUAGAUUCUAUACUUCCUUAGACGAAUCAACCUCCACCUGACGCCAGCGAGUAGGAUACAGCAGGCAUUUCCUUACAAGUGCACAUAGGGGGAGACAGCUCUAUAGAAGUAGAUGCAGCAUCUCGAGGAUUGCUCCAAAGAAAUAAGGCAGUCUGAUUCACAGGUUGUUUUGAUGAAAGUGAACGGGGGAACGGGUCACUCAGUGAGAAGCGAGCCUCCUCUUCUCAUUCUGUGGACUACAUGUCAGCCACGCAAACAUCAGCUCAUUCCGUCUGAAGAAAGGCUGCAGGGCUAUCUAUGAAGUGAACGAAGGAGUUUACGGUGUUUGGCUGGCAUAAUCCAGCCUUUAUUAUACCCCCAGUUGUUCUUCCAGCCCUGGGCUGUUCCUGAUUGUUUCUCUCAAGUUGGGGGUGUGAAUGCAGAAUGUCCAAGAGGGGCAAAGGGGGUGACAGAAGAGAAGUGGUCUGGGGGCUGCAUAUUACCCCUGCCGUCAAAGGGAAGCAAAGUCAGCAAUUGGUGUUGAUGACGCUGCACUGGCAGUAAGAGAGCCAAUCACAUCUUUCCUGCCCCUGGCAGCUGAAACCUCAUUUCUGCAUUUAUCCCAACGCAGGCUAAGACAAGGAUGGAAUGCAGGCGAUAUAGAAGAGGAGAAAAAGGCACCAAAAGCACAGCACUUGAUAAGCAUCAUUAACUGAUUUCAUUGAAAAGGAACCAGAAAAGCAUCAGCCUCUGCUAGCUGUGGACUCUUAAAACUCACACCGCCUGCUCUGCUUUAAUAACUCCUCUGCCGGAUUUAAGAAAAAAAAAAAAGAAAAGAAAAGCUUGAGAGGGGGGAGAUUUGAAAGGGGGGGAGGGAAUGUGAAGCAGCCAAUGCAACUUAGCUGGAAGCUUUGAGCAUUAACCCCUAGAGGGAAAGAAAAGGAGGGGUGGGAGGGGGGCUGUGUGAAUACAUAGGAGCACUGCAUCACGCUAAUGUUCUCCUCAGAACAGUAUGCGUCAGCAGUACAUCCACGUUCUGACUGAAGGACGAAAGGAUGAGAGAGCACCCUGGCUGGUUGGCUGCUGCUGGCAACACAAGGCAAACAGGGAGAGAGGAGGACUAUUAACAAAUGAAAAUGCUGCGAGGCUCCGAUACCACUGCUGCCUGCUCUCCUGCUGCUAAAAACACUGGGAAAGAAAUUACAAGCAAAUCCGGGAGAACACCACAACUCGUUACCUCAUAACAAAAGGCGCUACAGCGGGACUUCCACACGGCAGCAGAAGAGAGGCUGAGAAAGCCAGUCCCUUCCGCAGACCCACCUGAAACCAAGGGCUCAGCAUUGAGAUAUGGACGGAUUAUUGCUAAGUGUGCAAGGAGCAAGCUACAGCUGCUGCAUCCACAGCUUGAGAAGCUAGUUAUAAAAAAGAAGAAAAGGGAGAGAAAAGCCAGCAAGGAGGGAAACGAGAGGAAAAACAGUCAAUGCCUGCAAUGUGCUGCUUUUCUCUUUGUACAAAUCAGAAUCCUGCAGACAGUGUGUGAAUCGCAUGGAUACCAAAUAUUAAGAGACCAAGAGAACAGAGAGACACCCGCAAGGGAAGCCAGAAGGGAGCAUUUGGAGUUUCCCCCUUUUCUCAUCUUUCCUUUUGAAUCGCCCUAAAAUAACGUAUUCCAGCUUGCUUCAGAAAUGGAUCUUCCGUCUUCUUGUGCUGGAGACAGUAGUGGAAUCCAAGGACGAAUAUCUCAACUGCAAAAGGCACUUGUCCCAGGGGAGCGGCAAAAUGAUGCACCUGCAUAGGCAAGUGGGCCUCACCCCCUCGUUAUAUUUCCCUUAAUGUUGGUUUUUCUUUUUCUGGUGUUGGAUUACCUAAAGGAGCCAUUUUGUCUUUCAGUCAGCCCCCCUCCCACUAAAGCCCUGUUACCUUAUCUAUUUUU